rnacentral:rRNA from 1 species
AUGAGAAUGCCGAACCCUAGAGAGGUUGAGAGAGCCCUUUUUGUUGAGCAUAUUAAGCUGAAAAAGUGUGGGGUUAGUGUUAAAUUCUCUCCUUGGUUUGAAGAUAUUGAUUCUGAGGGACUGCUUGAAAUUGCCUGGGUCAAGAUUGGAAAAAUUCCACCUAACAAGAGAUGUGAUAAGACUAUAGCUUAUGUGGGAGCGUUAGUUGGGAUUACUCUGGAAGUUGAUAUGUCAACUAUAAAUCGCCCUUCUUCUGUCAGAGCUAAGAUUGGGUGUAGGUCGAUAGCUCAGCUCCCUGUCACUGCUGAAGGAGUGCUGGCAGGACGUUUCUACAGGUUUACUUAUGAGGUCGAGGAGGUUUUGGUCAAGAAUCCUGGGAAUGCAGAAAAGGAGGAUCCUAUCCCUAUGGAUGGAACCAAGGCUGACCAGACUCCUAAGAGGAAACGUACUGAACAUGAGAGAGGGGUGCAGCAGCCUGAGUCUGCUGGACAUGGCAAUACUGGGGGUUCCUAUCGUGGUGGCAAGGCCUGUCGCCUGCUAUACGAUGACAAUGAGGGAUCUCCUUCUACUGAAAGUGAUGGGGAUAAUUCCCUGCUUAUUGAAACAAUGCAAAGAGAGAUGGAGGAUAAAAUGAGGGAAGGGGAGGUUGAUUCUUCCCGCUGGAUUGUUCCCAGGAAUCCUGAUAUCAUGGAGAAUGGUGCACAAGAUAUUCAGGUGAAAAAAGACAUACAUAACAUAUCUGGUACACCUUGUCAGACUGUUUCUAACCCUUCUCAGAUUUGUGGAGGUAACUGGUGA